GUGUACCACGUUGUACGCCGCGGUUCUGAGCGCGCCGCCCGCACCCAUCUGACGAGCGCUCGCCAGGUUUGUUCGCC
rnacentral:sRNA from 1 species